rnacentral:rRNA from 1 species
AUUGAACGCUGGCGGCAGGCUUAACACAUGCAAGUCGAGCGGGGGAAGGUAGCUUGCUACCGGACCUAGCGGCGGACGGGUGAGUAAUGCUUAGGAAUCUGCCUAUUAGUGGGGGACAACAUCUCGAAAGGGAUGCUAAUACCGCAUACGUCCUACGGGAGAAAGUAGGGGAUCUUCGGACCUUGCGCUACUAGAUGAGCCUAAGUAGGAUUAGCUAGUUGGUGGGGUAAAGGCCUAUCAAGGCGACGAUCUGUAGCGGGUCUGAGAGGAUGAUCCGCCACACUGGGACUGAGACACGGCCCAGACUCCUACGGGAGGCAGCAGUGGGGAAUAUUGGACAAUGGGGGGAACCCUGAUCCAGCCAUGCCGCGUGUGUGAAGAAGGCCUUAUGGUUGUAAAGCACUUUAAGCGAGGAGGAGGCUACUUUAGUUAAUACCUAGAGAUAGUGGACGUUACUCGCAGAAUAAGCACCGGCUAACUCUGUGCCAGCCGCCGCAGUAA